UGUUUUCUCUAGUCUGUAAUCAAAUAUGUGUAAUUCAUUCUAAAAGGUCGCCUAUUGAAAGUCAAGAACAAAGUGUAAAGGUGUGCGAACAACCGCAGGAUGAUGGAAGGAUAAUACCGCGUCUAAAGAUCUUCAUCGCCCCUCCGCUGAUGGCUGACCUUAGUGACCCUACCGUCGGGCUCAGCAGUCUUCCUCAAGAAAUGGUGCAGGACGGAUGGAAAAGCCCUUCAUCGCCUCCCGCUGAUGGAUGACCUCAGUGACCCCAUCACCAGGCUCAGCAGGUUUUCUGGAAGACACCCUAGAAGUGUUCCCAGAUGAGCAGGAUGGACGGACGGAUGGAAAAGCCCUUCAUCGCCUCCCAAGGAUGGACGGACGGAUGGAAAAGCCCUUCAUCGCCUCCCAAGGAUGGACGGACGGAUGGAAAAGCCCUUCAUCGCCUCCCAAGGAUGGACGGACGGAUGGAAAAGCCCUUCAUCGCCUCCCAAGGAUGGACGGACGGAUGGAAAAGCCCUUCAUCGCCUCCCAAGGAUGGACGGACGGAUGGAAAAGCCCUUCAUCGCCACGGACGGACGGAUGGAUGGAUGGAAAAGCCCUUCAUCGCCACGGACGGAUGGAUGGAUGGAAAAGCCCUUCAUCGCCUCCCGCUGAUGGAUGACCUCAGUGACCCCAUCACCAGACUCGGCAGGUUUCCUGGAAGACACCCUAGAAGUGUUCCCAGAUGAGCAGGAAUCCUCCUGGAUCAUCCGAUUUCGUCCUUCAUCGCCUCCCAACGACGGACAAAAGAAAAUGACUGAACUUGAAACAACUCGGUUUCUUUUUUUUUCUGUCUAGGAUAAUUUUGUUUAGAAAUUUCAUAAUGUUAUUUUUAUACAUUUAAAUUGUCUUUCAUUGUUAAAGGUUAGUUAGAAUUUAAUGUCUGGUUUAGGUUACUGGAGGAUAAAUCAGUCAUUUUUCAACUGUUAACAUUUUUGUUUCUCGGUUAUUUUUCUCCACAGAAACUACGCUGGGUCUGGCGUUCUGAUUGGCUGUGGUUCCUUCCUGGAGGAGGACGUUGGCUGACAUGACGCUGCCAGCCGACCCUUCUCCGUCUCCGGCUGCCAACGUUUCCAUGAACGUAGUAAGUUCUCCUGAACAGUUGCUCUGUUGUGUUUCUGCUCCGUCUUCUCUCAGCUCCAGUCGGUCCUGGCAGGUGGCUGCAGAUACUGAGCCCGGUUC